CUGGUUGAUCCUGCCAGUUUUGGUACUCUCAAUUUGGAGCUUAAGCCAUGCAAACUACUGUCUGUCGUCCCGCAAGGGAAGGCAUUCAGCGUAUACGGCUCAGUAUAUCGAUGAAAUGAACGAACCGUGUUCACUCUUUGGUGAUAACGACGGAAAAGCUGUUGCUAAUACCACACACUCGUCGAGUGCGCGGGACUCGUUCUCGCCCUCGGCUGGCCUGCCGAGCAUUAAGCGCGGGUAUAGUACUCUUCGGAGUCAACCCGUUGCUGGAGUUGCGUCGGAAAGGCGUUGAAGGCUAUAGCUGCCGUCCAUGGAACGGUUAACUUGUUCGCUUUAUCACUGUCUGUUCACUCGGUCGUUUCGCAUUACGACCACCACGGGUGACGGAGGGUAAAAGCUCGAUGCCGGAGAGGUAGCCUUAGACACGGCUGCCACUUCUAAGGAAGGCAGCAGGCGCGAAAAUUACCCCAAUCUGUGGUCGGAGGAGGUAGUUACACAAAAUACCGACUCCGUACCCAAGAGACGGGUAUGGCUUGAGGAAUGUGAGCAACCCAAGCCCAUGCUCGGAACGCUACUGGAGGGCAAGUCUGGU
rnacentral:rRNA from 1 species